UUUCCGCGCGGAGCGGAAUUUCUCUUUGUCUUUUCUAAUUAGUUCCACCCGAGAAAUCACAAGACAAAGAAAAAUUCCGCUCCGCGCGGAAA